UGGAGUUGUGGCUCAGCGGUACAGCGCUUGCCUAGCAUGUGAGGCACUGUGUUCGAUUCUCAGCACUGUAU
rnacentral:tRNA from 1 species